rnacentral:rRNA from 1 species
GCCUGCAACUCGGCUGCAUGAAGCCGGAAUCGCUAGUAAUCGCGGAUCAGAACGCCGCGGUGAAUACGUUCCCGGGUCUUGUACGCACCGCCCGUCACACCAUGGGAGUCGGGAACGCCCGAAGUCGGUGCCCCAACCGCAAGGAGGGAGCCGCCGAAGGCAGGCCCGGCGACUGGGGUGAAGUCGUAACAAGGUAUC